GCCAGCCUGAAUUAGUGGUUUGAAUGUUGGACUAUGACUCUGGAGGACAGGGUUCAAAUCCCUGUUUGGCC
rnacentral:tRNA from 1 species